rnacentral:rRNA from 1 species
UACGGAGGAUGCAAGCGUUAUCCGGAUUCAUUGGGUUUAGAGGGUGCGUGGGCGGAAAGGUAAGCCAGUGGUGAAAUCCCCUCGCUUAACGAGGGAACUGCCAUUGAUACUGCUUUUCUUGAGUUCAGUUGACGUGGGCGGAAUGUGCUAUGUAGCGGUGAAAUGCUUAGAUAUGGCACAGAACACCUAUUGCGAAGGCAGCUCACGAAACUGAAACUGACGCUGAGGCACGAAAGCGUGGGGAUCAAACAGG